AUCGCUUCUCGGCCUUUUGGCUAAGAUCAAGUGUAGUCUCUGUUCUUAUCAGUUUAAUAUCUGAGGACAAUAUAUUAAAUGGAUUUUUGGUACUAGGAGUUGGAAUAGGAGCUUGCUCCAUCCACUCCACGCAUCGACCUGGUAUUGCAGUAUCUCCAGGAACGGUGCACCCCUU
ensembl:snRNA LOC120096841 U2 spliceosomal RNA